rnacentral:rRNA from 1 species
ACGAGUGGCGAACGGGUGAGUAACACGUGGGUGAUCUGCCCUGCACUUCGGGAUAAGCCCGGGAAACUGGGUCUAAUACCGGAUAGUACUGCGCGGUGCAUGCCGUGUGGUGGAAAGACUUAUCGGUGCAGGAUGGGCCCGCGGCUUAUCAGCUUGUUGGUGGGGUAAUGGCCUACCAAGGCGACGACGGGUAGCCGGCCUGAGAGGGCGACCGGCCACACUGGGACUGAGACACGGCCCAGACUCGUACGGGAGGCAGCAGUGGGGAAUAUUGCACAAUGGGCGCAAGCCUGAUGCAGCGACGCCGCGUGAGGGAUGACGGCCUUCGGGUUGUAAACCUCUUUCAGCAGGGACGAAGCGCAAGUGACGGUACCUGCAGAAGAAGCACCGGCCAACUACGUGCCAGACAGCCGCGGUAAUACGUAGGGUGCAAGCGUUGUCCGGAAUUACUGGGCGUAAAGAGCUCGUAGGCGGUUUGUCGCGUCGUCUGUGAAAACCAGCAGCUCAACUGUUGGCUUGCAGGCGAUACGGGCAGACUUGAGUAUUUCAGGGGAGACUGGAAUUCCUGGUGUAGCGGUGAAAUGCGCAGAUAUCAGGAGGAACACCGGUGGCGAAGGCGGGUCUCGUGGGAAAUAACUGACGCUGAGGAGCGAAAGCGUGGGUAGCGAACAGGAUUAGAUACCGUGGUAGUCCACCCCAGCUAAACGGUGGGCGCUAGGUGUGGGUUUCCUUCCACGGGAUCCGUGCCGUAGCUAACGCAUUAAGCGCCCCGCCUGGGGAGUACGCCGCAAGGCUAAACCUCAAAGGAAUUGACGGGGGCCCGCACAAGCGGCGGAGCAUGUGGAUUAAUUCGAUGCAACGCGAAGAACCUUACCUGGGUUUGACAUACACCGGAAAGCCGUAKAGAUACGGCCCCCUUGUGGUCGGUGUACAGGUGGUGCAUGGCUGUCUUCANCUCUUGUCUUGAGAUGUUGGGUUAAGUCCCGCAACGAGCGCAACCCUUGUCCCGUGUUGCCAGCGGAUUAUGCCGGGGACUCACAGGAGACUGCCGGGGUCAACUCAGAGUGGAAGGUGGGGACGAUCUCAAGUCAUCAUGCCCCUUAGGUCUAAGGCUUCACACAUGCUACAAUGGCCGGUACAGACGCGCUGCGAUACCGUGACGUGGAGCGAAUCCCUUAAAGCCGGUCUCAGUUCGGAUCGGGGUCUGCAACUCGACCCCGUGAAGUCCGAGUCGCUAGUAAUCGCAAUCAGCAACGCUGCGGUUAAUACGUUCCCGGGCCUUGUACACACCGCCCGUCACGUCAUGAAAGUCGGUAACACCCGAAGCCGGUGGC